rnacentral:lncRNA from 1 species
GACGAUCAUGUGAAGAACCGGGAACGUUCGGGACAACCGAACGUUGAGCCUCAGCCGGAGCGGUACCGGCGGGUUCUGGAGAUCCAGAGAGCGGAGCAGCUUUCAUCUGCCCAGAACGGUGGCCAGCAGCGCCAUCCGGAUGUACAUGCCGUUCUCCGCCUGCCGGAAGUACGCCGCCCGGGGGUCCGUGUCCACCUCGGCGCUGAAAGAGUCGCAGCUUUCAAGCAGACGACAGGAGCAGCUCUGGCGUCCUCGGUCCGAGUCUUACCUGAUCUCGUUGACUCGCGGCAGAGGAUGCAUGACCACCAUCUUCUUCUUGGCGGCCGUCAUGAUGUGGGGGGUGAGGAUGAACUGACCGAAGCACUGUCACAGAAAGCGUUGAGGGUUAGGGCGCCGCCUCGGCUGAACAAACAGCAGCGGGGCGGAGCUUACGGCCUUGUACUCCUCCUCAGAACCGAAGCGCUCCUUCUGGAUCCUCGUCACGUAGAGGACGUCCGUCUCAGGCAGCGCCUCCUCGAUGCUGUCGAACUCCUCCUGUAGGAGCGGGGGGAGGAGCAGGAGCGUUCAGGCCGACUCCUCCUGACCGUUUCAGAGCAGAACUUCACCUUUUACCCCCACCUGAUUGAUGCCCUUAGAGGCGACGUAGUCGAUGAUCUCUGCAGGCAUGUGGAGGUUCCUCGGCGCCACGUAGCGCAGAGCGAUGCGGUACUGGGUCAGCAGCUUGGCCAGAGAGUGGACGGUGCGUCCGUGCUUCAGGUCCCCCACCAUGGUGAUCUGACAGAGGCACAGGCGUUAGCGGCGUGGGGGCCUCCGGCCGAGCCGCCGGGGUCCCGGCGCUGCUCACCGUCAUGCCGUUGACCGUCCCCAGCUCCUCCCUGAUGGUGAAGACGUCCAGCAGGGCCUGGGUGGGAUGCUCGCCCACGCCGUCGCCGGCGUUGAUCACGGGCUUACGGCAGUGGCGAGACGCGCUCUGCAGGGGGUGGAGAGAAGGUCUCAGAACUGCUGAGAGCAUCAGAGUCUCUCAGAUCAGAUAGUCUAACCCUCUGGAGCUGACCAGAGUAAAAAUAAAAGAAACUUAGUUUAAUAUUUUGAUUUUAUGGAUGAAAGAAAGAAUACAGAAUCUAUUUGUUGUUUCUGGACAUGAGAGAUGUUUAAAUGAAAUAAACGAGGCUCCAGCAUGGAGUGCAGGACCUGCUGUGGGAGGC